CAGCCGCCGCGGUAAUACGUAGGUGGCAAGCGUUGUCCGGAAUUAUUGAGCGUAAAGGGCUCGCAGGCGGAUUCUUAAGUCUGAUGUGAAAGCCCCCGGCUCAACCGGGGAGGGUCAUUGGAAACUGGGAAACUUGAGUGCAGAAGAGGAGAGUGGAAUUCCACGUGUAGCGGUGAAAUGCGUAGAGAUGUGGAGGAACACCAGUGGCGAAGGCGACUCUCUGGUCCGUAACUGACGCUGAGGAGCGAAAGCGUGGGGAGCGAACAGGAUUAGAUACCCCCGUAGUCCCUGUCUCUUAUAA
rnacentral:rRNA from 1 species